UUUCCGUAGGUGAACCUGCGGAAGGAUCAUUACAGAGUUCAUGCCCGAAAGGGUAGACCUCCCACCCUUGUGUAUUAUUACUUUGUUGCUUUGGCGAGCGCAAGCUCGUCAGAGAAUACCAAAACUCUUUUUAUUAAUGCCGUCUGAGUACUAUAUAAUAGUUAAAACUUUCAACAACGGAUCUCUAGGUUCUG
rnacentral:misc_RNA from 1 species